GAUAAACGCUGGCGGCGCGCCUAACACAUGCAAGUCGAACGAGAAGUUAACUUCUGAUUCCUUCGGGGAGAGGAAGUUGGCAGAAAGUGGCGAACGGGUGAGUAACGCGUGGGUAAUCUACCCUGUAAGUGGGGGAUAACCCUCCGAAAGGAGGGCUAAUACCGCAUAAUAUCUUCUCCCCAAAAGAGAAGAAGAUUAAAGAUGGCCUCUAUACUAUGCUAUCGCUUCAGAAUGAGCCUGCGUCCUAUUAGUUAGUUGGUGGGGUAAUGGCCUACCAAGACGACAAUGGGUAGCCGGUCUGAGAGGAUGAUCAGUCACACUGGAACUGAGACACGGUCCAGACCCCUACGGGAGGCAGCAGUGGGGAAUAUUGGACAAUGGGCGAAAGCCUGAUCCAGCCAUGCCGCGUGUGUGAAGAGGGUCUUCGGAUUGUAAAGCACUUUAAGUUGGGAGGAAGGGUAGUAACUUAAUACGUUGCUACUUGACGUACCG
rnacentral:rRNA from 1 species